CGGGACGGGUGAGUAACGCGUGGGUAACCUGCCCUGUACAGGGGGAUAACAGUCAGAAAUGACUGCUAAUACCGCAUAAGACCACAGCACCGCAUGGUGCAGGGGUAAAAACUACCGGUGGUACAGGAUGGACCCGCGUCUGAUUAGCUGGUUGGUGAGGUAACGGCUCACCAAGGCGACGAUCAGUAGCCGGCUUGAGAGAGUGAACGGCCACAUUGGGACUGAGACACGGCCCAA
rnacentral:rRNA from 1 species